UAGGGAAUCUUCCACAAUGGACGCAAGUCUGAUGGAGCAACGCCGCGUGAGUGAAGAAGGUCUUCGGNUCGUAAAACUCUGUUGUUAGAGAAGAACACGAGUGAGAGUAACUGUUCAUUCGAUGACGGUAUCUAACCAGCAAGUCACGGCUAACUCGUGCCAA
rnacentral:rRNA from 1 species